rnacentral:rRNA from 1 species
UACGUAGGGGGCUAGCGUUGUCCGGAUUUAUUGGGCGUAAAGAGCGUGUAGGCGGCCAGGUAGGUCUGCUGUGAAAACUCGAGGCUCAACCUCGAGAUGUCGGCGGAAACCAUCUGGCUAGAGUCCGGAAGAGGAGAGUGGGAUUCCUGGUGUAGCGGUGAAAUGCGCAGAUAUCAGGAAGAACACCCGUGGCGAAGGCGGCUCUCUGGGACGGUACUGACGCUGAGACGCGAAAGCGUGGGUAGCAAACAGG